UACGAAGGGUGCAAGCGUUAAUCGGAAUUACUGGGCGUAAAGGGUGCGUAGGCGGUUCGUUAAGUCUGUCGUGAAAUCCCCGGGCUCAACCUGGGAAUGGCGAUGGAUACUGGCGGGCUAGAGUGUGGCAGAGGAUGGUGGAAUUCCCGGUGUAGCGGUGAAAUGCGUAGAGAUCGGGAGGAACAUCAGUGGCGAAGGCGGCCCUCUGGGACAACACUGACGCUGAAGCCCGAAAGCGUGGGGAGCAAACAGG
rnacentral:rRNA from 1 species